rnacentral:rRNA from 1 species
UACGGAGGGGGCUAGCGUUGUUCGGAAUUACUGGGCGUAAAGCGCACGUAGGCGGCUUUGCAAGUUAGAGGUAGAAAGCCCGGGGCUCAACUCCGGAAUUGCCUUUAAAACUGCAUCGCUAGAAUUGUGGAGAGGUAAGUGGAAUUCCGAGUGUAGAGGUGAAAUUCGUAGAUAUUCGGAAGAACACCAGUGGCGAAGGCGACUUACUGGACACAUAUUGACGCUGAGGUGCGAAAGCGUGGGGAGCAAACAGG